UACGUAGGGUGCAAGCGUUGUCCGGAAUUAUUGGGCGUAAAGAGCUCGUAGGCGGUCUGUCGCGUCGGAUGUGAAAAUCCAGGGCUCAACCCUGGACCUGCAUUCGAUACGGGCAGACUAGAGUUCGGUAGGGGAGACUGGAAUUCCUGGUGUAGCGGUGAAAUGCGCAGAUAUCAGGAGGAACACCGGUGGCGAAGGCGGGUCUCUGGACCGGUACUGACACUGAGACACGAAAGCGUGGGGAGCAAACAGG
rnacentral:rRNA from 1 species